AGGAAGCGAGAAGUCGACGCGCCUCUCGAGGCGUCCGGCCCUCCGCGAGCGCCCGCGGGGGUUCGGGUCACGGACCCGGUCCGUUCCCGUUCCCACCGAGGGGCUGUCCGCGUAAAUGGAGGUGUCCUCGGACGGCGUCGAAUUCCGGUCCGCGACGCUACGGCUUGGAUGGUCCACCCGACCCGUCUUGAAACACGGACCAAGGAGUCUAACAUGCGCGCGAGUCGUUGGGUUCGCGAUGCUAAACCCAUAGGCGCAAUGAAAGUGAAGGCCGCCGCUCCGGCGGCCGAGGGAGGACGGGGCCUCGCCCCAGCACUCCCGGGGCGUCUGAUCCCUCAUCGCGAGGGGAGGCGCACCCAGAGCGCACACGUUGGGACCCGAAAGAUGGUGAACUAUGCCUGGCCAGGACGAAGUCAGGGGAAACCCUGAUGGAGGUCCGUAGCGAUUCUGACGUGCAAAUCGAUCGUCGGAGCUGGGUAUAGGGGCGAAAGACUAAUCGAACCAUCUAGUAGCUGGUUCCCUCCGAAGUUUCCCUCAGGAUAGCUUGCGCUCGGAAAGGAGUCUCAUCCGGUAAAGCGAAUGAUUAGAGGCCUUGGGGCCGAAACGGCUUCAACCUAUUCUCAAACUUUAAAUGGGUGAGAGCUCCGGCUUGCUCGAUUAACGAAGCCGGAGGCUGGAUCGGAGUGCCUAGUGGGCCACUUUUGGUAAGCAGAACUGGCGCUGUGGGAUGAACCAAACGACGGGUUAAGGCGCCCGAAUCGACGCUCAUGGGAAACCAUGAAAGGUGUUGGUUGCUUAAGACAGCAGGACGGUGGCCAUGGAAGUCGGAAUCCGCUAAGGAGUGUGUAAUAACUCACCUGCCGAAGCAACUAGCCCUGAAAAUGGAUGGCGCUGAAGCGUCGUGCCUAUACCCGGCCGUCGCGGCGGGGCGGAUUCGUUCCGUUCGAUGCUGCGACGAGUAGGAGGGUCGCGGCGGCGUGCGCAGAAGGGUCUGGGCUCGAGCCUGCCUGGAGCCGCCGCCGGUGCAGAUCUUGGUGGUAGUAGCAAAUACUCCAGCGAGGCCCUGGAGGACUGAUGUGGAGAAGGGUUUCGUGUGAACAGCCGUUGCACACGAGUCAGUCGAUCCUAAGCCCUAGGAGAAAUCCGACGCCUACGGCGACGGGAAAAAUUUUGAAAGAGAAAGAAACCCGUUGAUCGGGCGAAAGGGAAUCCGGUUCCUAUUCCGGAACCCGGCAGCGGAACCGCUGUUUGUCGGGCCCUCACAAGGGGUUCGUCAGGGUAACCUAAAAGGGCCCGGAGACGCCGUCGGGAGCCCCGGAAAGAGUUUUCUUUUCUGCAUGAGCGUUCGAGUUCCCUG
rnacentral:rRNA from 1 species